GUUAGUAUGGCAGAGCCAGGUUACAUGCACAAGACCUAAGCCCUUAUAACAGAGGUUCAAAUCCUCUUCCUAACU
rnacentral:tRNA from 1 species